rnacentral:rRNA from 1 species
UACAGAGGGGGCAAGCGUUGUUCGGAAUUACUGGGCGUAAAGCGCGUGUAGGCGGGUCUUUAAGUCAGGGGUGAAAUGCCAAGGCUCAACCUUGGAACUGCCUUUGAUACUGGAGACCUUGAGUCCGGGAGAGGUGAGUGGAAUUGCGAGUGUAGAGGUGAAAUUCGUAGAUAUUCGCAAGAACACCAGUGGCGAAGGCGGCUCACUGGCCCGGAACUGACGCUGAGACGCGAAAGCGUGGGGAGCAAACAGG